UCGAUCAUGCUUGUAUCCAAGCCGUUCCUUUACUAAUUACAUUUUUAACUGAUUCUAUUCUAUCUACUGAGUCUUUUCUGGUAGAACUUUUGUUCACUCUUUCUUGCGUUUGUGUAGAAGUUGGCUGGUUUCAGAUUUGUUGAUAAAUUGAUUUUCGGAUUUUGAUUUCUGGUGAUCUGAUUUUAAUGUGGUUCUGCUGGUUCUUAGCCUGCUGCCUAGCAGCACGGCAGGAUGAGCACAGUUCAGAUAGAGCCAUUAAGAAGUGCGUGAAAAAAUACAGACUGGAGGAACUAAAGAGAGAGCUGGAGGCUUUGGGGGUUAACGUUGAUGGACAUGGACAAGACAUGGAUGAAAAUGAAAAUAAAAAGAAAGACCAAAAAGAAACUCCAAAAGCUACUAAUAAAGGAGCUGAAGCAGGUCGAGGACGGCAGAACUGGCCUAGACAAGAAGGUGAGGGCAGAAGGACUAACUCUGCCCAUGGAGAUCCCAGAAGACGUCCUAAAUGUUCUUCAUGACCUUGAUGCAUCCUUGGACAAAGAGUUGGAAGACUCUGAGAGAAAUGAACAGAGGGAUGACAAUGUGAAAGCUGUGCUCGACAGUCUCCUAGAUAAAGUGGACUUAACUCCGGCUUGAAAGACAAAGGAGAAAAGGAGAGAGUAUUGAGGCCCGAAGCUGGAGACAGGAAGGAGGAGUAAGGAGGAGGCCAAUUUCUGGAGUGCCAGAACCACAAAGGCUUCAUCCCCAAGGGGAGGUUUCGGGGGCCAGACACAGCAGCAGACGGCUGACUGUGUGAACGAUUGACAAGGACUUAACCAUCAAAAACCAUCAAUAAAGCAGAUACAAGUUGUAGUGAUCUUAA